CCUACGGGAGGCAGCAGUGGGGAAUAUUGGACAAUGGGCGAAAGCCUGAUCCAGCAAUUCCGCGUGUGUGAAGAAGGCCUUCGGGUUGUAAAGCACUUUAGUGGGGGAAGAAACAGCUUGGCCACACCAAGCCUUGACGGUACCCCAAGAAUAAGCACCGGCUAACUCUGUGCCAGCAGCCGCGGUAAUACAGAGGGUGCAAGCGUUAAUCGGAUUUACUGGGCGUAAAGGGUGCGUAGGUGGCUAUUUAAGUCGGAUGUGAAAGCCCGGGGCUCAACCUCGGAAUUGCAUUCGAUACUGAGUGGCUAGAGUUCGGUAGAGGGCGGCGGAAUUUCCGGUGUAGCGGUGAAAUGCGUAGAUAUCGGAAGGAACAUCAAUGGCGAAGGCAGUCGCCUGGGCCUGGACUGACACUGAGGCACGAAAGCGUGGGUAGCAAACAGGAUUAGAUACCCUGGUAGUCCACGCCGUAAACGAUGAGAACUUGACGUUGGUUCGUUUUACGAAUCGGUGUCGCAGCUAACGCGAUAAGUUCUCCGCCUGGGGAGUACGGCCGCAAGGUUGAAACUCAAAGGAAUUGACGG
rnacentral:rRNA from 1 species